GAAAUUUAAAGCCUGCAAGACUGCAAGUUCUCUCUCUCUCUGUCUCUUGGAUAAUUGAGUUCUAGUCAGAUUCACGGCAAGUAUCAACAAAUAUAAACUCCUUGUCGAGGCAUUAAUUGAAUUCGCCAAUUUUUUUUUUUUUUUAAUAAACUGCUCAGACUAGAACUUAGAUCUUAGAAGUUAUAUUCUUGGAAAUAAUUUUAUAACCAAUGAGCUAUAUCUCAUUGAUAAAAAUAAAAAUUGCAAAAAUUAACUUAAGAGCUUUUGGGAUAGUUAUUAAAUCAAUCCGAACACUAAACAGAUAAAAG
rnacentral:lncRNA from 1 species